rnacentral:rRNA from 1 species
AUGAACGCUAGCGACAGGCCUAACACAUGCAAGUCAGGGGCAGCACAAGGAGCAAUCUGAGGUGGCGACCGGCGCACGGGUGAGUAACACGUAUGCAACCUGCCUGUAAGCGGGGAAUAACCCGUUGAAAGACGGACUAAUACCGCAUAAUACUAAAUACUGCAUGGUAAUUUAUUUAAACAUUUAUGGCUUACAGAUGGGCAUGCGCAUGAUUAGCUAGUUGGAGAGGUAACGGCUCCCCAAGGCAACGAUCAUUAGGGGUUCUGAGAGGAAGGUCCCCCACACUGGUACUGAGACACGGACCAGACUCCUACGGGAGGCAGCAGUGAGGAAUAUUGGUCAAUGGACGAGAGUCUGAACCAGCCAAGUCGCGUGCAGGAAGAAUGUUCCCUAUGGAUUGUAAACUGCUUUUGCAGGGGAAUAAAGUGCAUCACGUGUGAUGUUUUGUAUGUACUCUGCGAAUAAGGAUCGGCUAACUCCGUGCCAGCAGCCGC